UCCACAGUUAAAAUGGGAGCAUGACACAAAGACAUGAGCUGCUGUUAACUCAGCUAUAUAUGAGCAUUCUGCAAGAAAUAUAAGGAUAUCAUUCCUGGGAUGUUCUUGGGUUGGAUUCAUUCCUGUGGUAAAUCCAUGAGAAGAAGCCCCCUGACAUCAGCCAAAUGAGCCAGUGUAAACGAAGGAAGAACUGAGUUAUCCUGAUGCUCGCUCAUGCCAAAGGCAUUGCUCCCAAAACCAAUCCAUAGGAGCUAUUUUUGCAUUUUACAUCAUGGUGGCAUUAGAAGUGAAACACGAGUUCCACUCCUUCAGCUUGGUUUAGUCUCACAUUUUGCAGCUCAGCAGAAAACCCAAAUCAGACAGGAUGGCUUUUUAUUUAAAAAUUAGGCAGUUCUUUCUCCCCUGCCCUGCCCUGUAUUUUACAGGCCCACAAACCCACAUACUCUUCAUGUCUUCCAACACAACAAACCCCCAAGAGUUGAAUCACAGUGGUGCUUUAAAGUUACACAGAGACAGAAGUGUCUUAGCCAGUUACAUCAACUUCAUUGCAAGCAAGCAUCUCACUUAUCACACACUCCUUUCUACACGGCGCUGAUGAACAAAUCCCAGGAGAAAACCUGCAUCCCGACACCUCCACUCUUUUUCUCCCUUUUCACCUUAUCUCCCAAACCUUGCUGUUAGCACUUCUACUUCUCCCCAGCCUGCUGGAGCAGAACUACCUCACUGGAAACAAACUGCUCAGAUCCACGUGGAACUUGGGGAACUGCCUCUGACACCCCUUCUGCAAGCAAUCCCUGGAGGAUGCAUGUGUCGCUAAAGAAUAGAAGCCCGUGAGACAACCAGUCAAUGCUGGGAUAGGUGCGAAGCCCCUUUGGCCAGCAGCCACCAGCUGGAAGCAGUUUCUCUGCUGUGGAUUAAUUUCAUGGAUGCCAGCGGAUAAUAACAACUCUCAGUCACUACCAACUUGGGCUGCUUUGCUGUCUCCCUGCUGUUUUAAAAGAGCUUUCAUUCUUGCCACAGAAUGUUGGGAGAUGAAAUAAGGAGGUGUGAGGGGGGAGAGACAAGCCACAGCUACAGGGAUCGCAUGUACCAGACAGAGCUUAAAGUCCUCCGGCAGUCUGUCCUACCGGGAGCUUUCUUUGUGCAUGAGCAGCAAAACCUCAUCCAAGGAGAGGAAGCAGAAAUAAUUGCAUGGCCAGACGAGGGGAGAAAAAGACCUGUUUAACUUGCUAACAAAUUUGUGGCAUUUUUAUCAAUCCUCACACGGAUGGAUUAUUGGAGUGACGAGAAAACCUACGUGUGCAGAACAAGCACCACUGCCCUUCUCAGAGUUAAACUCGUCCCAAGCAGAAGGAGGAGCAGAAGAGAAGUGGGGAAGGCUGGAGUUACAUAUCUGGAAGAGAAGACCCAGCUAUCUGCCAAAGCCAUCAGCCUGCAAGCGCUCACAGGAAUUCAUGUGCUCUCCCUGCUGAUCUUGAUGGUUUUGUAAGGAAAAGCAGUCCUGGCUGCAGAGGACGUCUGGUGCUCACAGGAGGGACAAAGCAGAUCCAAAACUGUCGCAUCGUGGCCGCCCAGAAAACAUUGGAUCCAGUCUGGUCACCCAAAUACCGCCUGCCUGCAGCUUCUGAGCAGAGCUCAGAAAAAAGAAAACCUAUCCAUACUGUGGGUUUGUGUUUGUUUUCCAAGCUCCCCCGUUGAAAUUCCAUGUCAAAGAUGAAGUGGGAUAGUGGCAACAACCAGGAGAGGUGGAAGAAGGAUUCCUACUUCACAUGUGGGAUGGGUGCCACCAGGACACACCCCUGCAGUUCCAGUCCCAGCACCCUCUCCGGAUUUACAAGUCCCUGGAGUGGAGCAGGGACAGCGGCCGAGAGCCCAGUGCUUUGCCAUCGCUGCUGUGGGCUGGAAUGAGAGGGGGCAGCUGCUGGAGGAUGCUGAAGUCAUUGUGCUGCCGGACAGGCUCUCAUCACGCACAGGAUAAAACCCCAGCUCCUGUGGCCGGGGCCCUGUGGGGUUUCACAGGGCAGCUCCUGCCAGCAAGGCCAGCCGAUGACUACAAGCCAAGUGGCUUCCCUGUCCUGGCAUUCCAGGGACACCUCUGGACCAUGGAUGUUUGCAAAAUGGCUUUUGUUUGCUUAACUCCUUGCACUGGAACAGGCAGAGGCACAGCUCCCACCGUCUUGUCCCUCCUCCACAGGCAGGGACAGGGUGACAAUCCUGCUGCCCAGGGCAGGCAGCUCAGUGCCAGCCCUGCCAUCCCACCCCUGGAAAAAAUAGCACCUUUUGGGUGCGUUAUUUGUACUUUCCUUUUCUGAAUGUGCCUUAAAAAGAAGGGCUUAGUUUUCAAAGAAGCAGCAUUUAAAUUACAUUCUUCCCUGCUCGUCCAGCUCUUUGCUGUAAUCUUAUUGCUGUACGGAGCAACGAGCGUGCGUGGGACGUGGUGGGAUUUUAACUGUAAUUCAUGGACAGAUAUAAAAUGCCAGGGUUAUUAUGAAUUUUAUUCAGGAGAGUUUAAAUGUUACUGGUUCAGCAGUGCCUCUUUCCAUGCUUCCUUUGCAGCAGCUUCUGUUUAACCUCUCAGCUCACAAAAUUUAUUGUAUUGUUGGUGGCUCGCUGUAAUUCUCCAGGUUUUCAAAUAAUCCCAGGAAAAGGGUUAACUGAAGCCUCUGCCUUAGUCUACAUCCACUGCAAAGCAUGUGGGACCAAAGUUUGUCUUUCCUGACACCCCUGGUAAGUCCCUUGGGUUCAUCUGGGAAAACUGCCACUCUGAAUUUCAAAAUUAUGUCAGUGGGAAAUGGGUCAGUUGCAGUGCAGGGACCAGGGAGCACCAAAACCUGGGUCCCAAUGUUGCAGUUAGCAUUUGGACAAGGCUCUCACCCAGCUCACAUGGUGUUCCAAGCUGAGCUGGACAUCACUGGACCCACAACAGGGCACAAGGUUUUAUUGGUACGAGUAACUAUUCCCCAGGCAGAUACAUCGUGGUGAAUGGCCUUGGGAUGGAAGGUCUGUGACACAGCUUGUAGCUAGGUUUUGAUGGCCAUGAUGAUCAUUGAUGACCAUUGCAGUGGGAUGCAGAGCACUUCCAGACAUGGAUUCAGCCUGAUUCUCCUGGGAUUCAUCCAUUUUUUGUCACCUAACACAGACACAAUGAGGUUUUGCACACACACCCCCAUGAAGGCAACCCCUUUCCCAUCUUCACUUUCUUCUGAAAAGCUUCAGAAAGCUUUUCUCACUGCCAUACCCUAAACCCUCCCUGCUGCUUCCAGAGCUCAUUCACCUUUCUCUGCUCCCUGUGGAGAUACUUUUCCCUUCCUUUGCAUCCCCUGCUGACAGCAGCGGCCCCCUCAGACCUUCCCCAGCAGAGCAAGGUGGAUGUUGUGAAACCAAAGGGUUUUCUUUCAUCUAUUCCCACCUCUCCUCUGGCUCUGCCUUGCUGCAUCUCUCUGGACGUGCAUCGCACACGUAGCACACCCAGCACCCGCCAGCCCUGCUCAUCCAUCUCACACACCUUAAUCAAUGGGAAACUUGAGGAAAAGCCCGUAAACCAGAUGGGAAGUGAGGAUUGGAUUUGCUAUGUGCUGGUACUAAUGGAAACCAUCCUUCACUGCAUAAUCAGGAGGAAUGGCCACACACAACCCAUCAUUUCUGCCCAGGGUUUUCACAGGGCAGCCCUGUGAGGACAUGUGGGGUGAUGAGCCCUGGAGGCUCCAGUGUCCCUGCAGUGAUAACCCGCAGUGAUUUCCAUGAGCAACAGCUUAUGGUGGGUGCAGAGUCACCAAACUCCCCAUUGCCUGCAAAAUGUGGCAGCAAAUUGUCACAUCCCUAAUGCCAGCACAACACUGUUUGCACACAGAAACCCUCCAAAUCCCCAUUUUGCUGAUAUUUGUAAUUUCACAGGACAAGCCUGCCUGUGGCACAGGGACUCACCUCCGUCUGGCCCCUCCAUGUAUUUGCUGCCUGCAAAUGGGUCAAAGCCAGCCCAGCGCAGGAGCUGCCAGAGAAUUUUGGCCCUGUCUGAGGCAGAACAGGCUCCCUAUAAAUUUCACUUGGAUUAAUCUCAUGGCUGAGCUGGGAGUACUUCCCUCCAGCCUUCCUCAGGCUGUCACUAGCUCACCUGCCCUGUGGCAGGGCUGGUACAAAUGGGUGGCACCAGACUGUGAUUUUCCCCUCCAGCUCCAGUGGUGGGUUGUACUUAUCACUCCUUGGACACCCCCUUCCCCUCCCACACCCAGCUGGGUUUUGCAAAUCUGUUUGGGGCUCAGGAGGGUGUUUGUAUUCAGAGGGAUGGGGUGUGGGGCUUGUGCCCCAAAUACCACUCAGUUUUGGUCAGGGUCUGGAAAACAGACGACAUGCACUCUGGGAAUCACAGCCACCCCUGAGACCAUCCUGACUGGAGCCUGUGGAUGCAGCUUCUCAUUGCCAGGGCCCUGGGAGCCCUGGGCACAUUUCUGAAGCUCGGAUGUGAUUCAGGUGAAGCUCUGGUGUGAUGUGACUGAAUGCAAUGCCACUGAAACAUCCUUUCAUUUCAGGCAGUCAUCAGUUCCUUGCCAGCCUCGGCCCGCAUUGACAGGGAGGGCUGUGGAACAGAGCAUCCCCGGCCCACUCCUGAGCCCGGCCUUUGAAUGCGCUACCACCUUCUCCAAACAAAGCCCACUUUCUAAUAUCCCACGACGUCUCUGCUGUUCCCUGAAUGGCAUGCGUGGGAGGCAGAGUCAGCACUCCAGCCCGUCUGCCCCAGCCCAUGGCUUAUGGUGGUGCCCCUUGGGUGUCCAUGGCCAGGUUUUUCCCC